rnacentral:rRNA from 1 species
AUUGAACGCUGGCGGCAGGCUUAACACAUGCAAGUCGAGCGAGCGGCGGACUGGUGAGUAAUGUCUGGGAAACUGCCUGAUGGAGGGGAAUAACUACUGAAAACGGUAGCUAAUACCGCAUACCAUCGGAUGUGCCCAGAUGGGAUUAGCUAGUAGGGGGGGUAAUGGCGCACCUAGGCGACGAUCCCUACCUGGUCUGAGAGGAUGACCAGCCACACUGGGACUGAGACACGGUCAAGACUCCUACGGGAGGCAGCAGUGGGGAAUAUUGCACAAUGGGCGCAAGCCUGAUGCAGCCAUGCCGCGUGUAUGAAGAAGGCCUUAGGGUUGUAAAGCACUUUCAGCGAGGAGGCGUUACUCGCAGAAGAAGCACCGGCUAACUCCGUGCCAGCCGCCGCGGUAAUAC